UACGGGGGGGGCAAGCGUUGUUCGGAAUUACUGGGCGUAAAGGGCUCGUAGGCGGCCAACUAAGUCAGACGUGAAAUCCCUCGGCUUAACCGGGGAACUGCAUCUGAUACUGGAUGGCCUGAGUUCGGGAGAGGGAUGCGGAAUUCCAGGUGUAGCGGUGAAAUGCGUAGAUAUCUGGAGGAACACCGGUGGCGAAGGCGGCAUCCUGGACCGGCACUGACGCUGAGGAGCGAAAGCCAGGGGAGCAAACGGG
rnacentral:rRNA from 1 species